rnacentral:rRNA from 1 species
GAUGAACGCUGGCGGCGUGCUUAACACAUGCAAGUCGAACGAUGAAGCCCAGCUUGCUGGGUGGAUUAGUGGCGAACGGGUGAGUAACACGUGAGUAACCUGCCCUUGACUCUGGGAUAAGCCUGGGAAACUGGGUCUAAUACUGGAUAUGACUUCUCAUCGCAUGGUGGGGGGUGGAAAGAUUUAUUGGUCUUGGAUGGACUCGCGGCCUAUCAGCUUGUUGGUGAGGUAAUGGCUCACCAAGGCGACGACGGGUAGCCGGCCUGAGAGGGUGACCGGCCACACUGGGACUGAGACACGGCCCAGACUCCUACGGGAGGCAGCAGUGGGGAAUAUUGCACAAUGGGCGCAAGCCUGAUGCAGCGACGCCGCGUGAGGGAUGACGGCCUUCGGGUUGUAGACCUCUUUCAGUAGGGAAGAAGCGAGAGUGACGGUACCUGCAGAAGAAGCGCCGGCUAACUACGUG